rnacentral:rRNA from 1 species
AGUUUCAGUUAGCCAACGUACGUAAACGUAUCCUGCCGGCGAGUGGCGAACGGGUGAGUAAUACAUCGGAACGUGCCCUGUAGUGGGGGAUAACUAGUCGAAAGAUUAGCUAAUACCGCAUACGACCUGAGGGUGAAAGUGGGGGACCGCAAGGCCUCAUGCUAUAUGAGCGGCCGAUGUCUGAUUAGCUAGUUGGUGGGGUAAAGGCCCACCAAGGCGACGAUCAGUAGCUGGUCUGAGAGGACGAUCAGCCACACUGGGACUGAGACACGGCCCAGACUCCUACGGGAGGCAGCAGUGGGGAAUUUUGGACAAUGGGCGAAAGCCUGAUCCAGCAAUGCCGCGUGUGUGAAGAAGGCCUUCGGGUUGUAAAGCACUUUUGUCCGGAAAGAAAUGGCUCUGGUUAAUACCUGGGGUCGAUGACGGUACCGGAAGAAUAAGGACCGGCACUACGUGUACAUAGAGCCAGCAGCCGCGGUAAUACGUAGGGUCCAAGCGUUAAUCGGAAUUACUGGGCGUAAAGCGUGCGCAGGCGGUUGUGCAAGACCGAUGUGAAAUCCCCGAGCUUAACUUGGGAAUUGCAUUGGUGACUGCACGGCUAGAGGUCAUUGUGUCAGAGGGGGGUAGAAUUCCACGUGGUCAUAUAGCAGUGAAAUGCGUAGAGAUGUGGAGGAAUACCGAUGGCGAAGGCAGCCCUGGGAUAACACUGACGGUCAUGCACGAAAGCGUGGGGCAAACAGGAUUAGAUACCGUAGUCCACGCCCUAAACGAUGUCAACUAGUUGUUGGGGAUUCAUUUCCUUAGUAACGUAGCUACGCGUGAAGUUGACCGCCUGGGGAGUACUCGCAAGAUUAAAACUCAAAGGAAUUGACGGGGACCCGCACAAGCGGUGGAUGAUUGUGGAUAUUCGAUGCAACGCGGAUUACUCG